UGUGUGUGCGUCCCUCGCCUCCCCUGGACCCCACACAGCUACCAACUACUGCUACCGCCAUGAUUCUUCACCACAGAAAAGUCAAACAACAGUUUUAUCCAGGAAAUAAAAGACAUAAAAGGACUUGCCACCACUUCUGACAACUGGGUUAAGUUCCUGGGACCCACAGAGUAGAAGGAAAGAACUAACCCUGACAAUUUGUCCUCUGACCUCCAGAAUCAAUCCUGUGGCAUACAAGAACCCAGAAAAGUGCAGGCUUCCCACAUUUAUCAGCCAGCCAUGACAUAAGACUGGGCACCUCCUCUCCUAUCAAGGCUGGACAAGGCAACCA